CUCCCAGUGGGCAGGACAAAGAUAUGAGGUAUAAGGAGAACCCAUUCCACCUGCACCAACAAGCUUCCCCGGUCUCACAGAAGAAGCUCCCUGUGGCUGAAAGAUGAAAAACCUUAUCUUGGCUGCUGUUAUGCUUCAGCUAGUGAUCACACAAAAAGACAUUAGUAAGGAGUACAAAUUUGGAGACAUAAUUUCAUUUGGACACCCUUGUCCCGCCCCCACCCCCAAGACCCUGAGGUUUCCGUACUCGCACUAUGGUAUAUAUGUAGGUCAAAGCACAGGGAUAGACGUCGGCCAAGGUGAUAAUGAUAUAUUUCACAACUCAGGUUUUGAGAAACCAGACUGUGUAUUUGGCAAAUUUAAGUCUCUUAGGGGAAUUGUAGUAACAUCAAAGGAAAACUACCUUGAUGGGAUUGAAGGCUUCAAUCCAGGAACCCAGGAAGACAUAACUGAGCGAAUCUCCAACGCCACUAAACACUGUGAAACUUUUGAAAACAUCUGUGCACACCUUACCACCUAUGUGCGCUAUGGCACGAUGUCACUGCAGCAUGAUGAUCGGACUAAAUGUUUUGAAGCUGGACCAGCUAAAAACAUACUGGACCAAGUAACCCUUAGCAGGAUUUACGAGGCCAAUUGUAUAAAACAAGGUAAAAAAAAUGAAAAAAAGAGAACAGCAAACACAGAAAACAAAACAACAAACAAAGGCAAAAAAAAAAACCAAAUAAACAAAAAAAAGGUUCACAGCUAACAAGUAUUUUAGCAGCUGGUCCCUACAGCCUGUCUUGCUCUCUGUUCUUUCCUCAUGACAUGAGGUCUUAUUUGAAAUAAUAAAAAAAUGAAUGAGCAAGAACUGUGUGUGUUUUAUUGUCCUCCAUCUCUCCUUGUACACUAACUGAUGACAUCCAAACGUGGGAUCAGACCACUGUUUUGGGGGUAUUGGUGCGGCCUAAAAUGCCUGAU
rnacentral:lncRNA from 15 species